AAAAAACGACCUUUCCCGUCGUGGUGGUAGUGGAAGGAGGUCCCAAAGCACAGGAGAAAUUUAAGCGGCUCACGUUACACCGAAUAAAAUGGGAUGAGCAGAAAGGAGAUGGUAAGAAAGUUUUAAAGUAAUCCAAUGACCUAGAAAGAGGCGAGCCCACCGUG